ensembl:lncRNA
GGCUGGCUUUGUCUAGUGAUUCACUACCCCGAGAAAGAAAAAAAUGUACAUAAAAAAGGGUACCUUUCUUUUGUGGGCAGCCGCGACAGCGCACAGAGCACGACCGAGAGGAGCUACCCCACGUCCGAGGUCAGGGGCAGAAGCUGGGAGGACCCCAUGCCCGAGGGUCGGCAGCCAAGAGGAGUUACCCUACGUCCGAGGUCAGGUGCAGCAGCCCAGAGUGCCAGGCUGUGACGGCGCAGGAACUGCUGAGAGGAGCUACCCACUGCCCGAGGCCAGGGGGCGGUGGCUGAGACGAGCAACCCCACGUCCAAG